rnacentral:lncRNA from 1 species
GGGGUACCGGUACAGAGUCAAUGUGGAGACUAUAUACAGGGGGUACCGGUACAGAGUCAAUGUGGAGGCUAUAUACAGGGUAUUACGGUACAGAGUCAAUGUGGAGGCUAUAUACAGGGGGUACCGGUACAGAGUCAAUGUGGAGGCUAUAUACAGGGUGUUACGGUACAGAGUCAAUGUGGAGGCUAUAUACAGGGGGUACUGGUACAGAGUCAAUGUGGAGGCUAUAUACAGGGGGUACCGGUACAGAGUCAAUGUGGAGGCUAUAUACAGGGGGUACCGGUACAGAGUCAAUUUGGAGGCUAUAUACAGGGUGUUACGGUACAGAGUCAAUGUGGAGGCUAUAUACAGGGUGUUACAGUACAGAGUCAAUGUGGAGGCUAUAUACAGGGGGUACCGGUACAGAGUCAAUGUGGAGGCUAUAUACAG